rnacentral:miRNA from 1 species
UGCUCGCUCCUCUUCUGUCAGC